UAUUAUGAGAGUUUGAUCCUGGCUCAGGACGAACGCUGGCGGCGUGCCUAAUACAUGCAAGUCGAACGCUUCUUUCCUCCCGAGUGCUUGCACUCAAUUGGAAAGAGGAGUGGCGGACGGGUGAGUAACACGUGGGUAACCUACCCAUCAGAGGGGGAUAACACUUGGAAACAGGUGCUAAUACCGCAUAACAGUUUAUGCCGCAUGGCAUAAGAGUGAAAGGCGCUUUCGGGUGUCGCUGAUGGAUGGACCCGCGGUGCAUUAGCUAGUUGGUGAGGUAACGGCUCACCAAGGCCACGAUGCAUAGCCGACCUGAGAGGGUGAUCGGCCACACUGGGACUGAGACACGGCCCAGACUCCUACGGGAGGCAGCAGUAGGGAAUCUUCGGCAAUGGACGAAAGUCUGACCGAGCAACGCCGCGUGAGUGAAGAAGGUUUUCGGAUCGUAAAACUCUGUUGUUAGAGAA
rnacentral:rRNA from 1 species